GGGAUUGUGGCUCAGCGGUAGAGCGCUCGCCUAGCAUAUGUGAGGCCCUGAGUUCGAUCCUCAGCACCA
rnacentral:tRNA from 1 species